rnacentral:rRNA from 1 species
GACGAACGCUGGCGGCGUGCCUAAUACAUGCAAGUAGAACGCACAGUUUAUACCGUAGCUUGCUACACCAUAGACUGUGAGUUGCGAACGGGUGAGUAACGCGUAGGUAACCUGCCUGGUAGCGGGGGAUAACUAUUGGAAACGAUAGCUAAUACCGCAUAAUAUUGAUUAUUGCAUGAUAAUUGAUUGAAAGAUGCUAUUGCAUCACUACCAGAUGGACCUGCGUUGUAUUAGCUAGUAGGUGAGGUAACGGCUCACCUAGGCGACGAUACAUAGCCGACCUGAGAGGGUGAUCGGCCACACUGGGACUGAGACACGGCCCAGACUCCUACGGGAGGCAGCAGUAGGGAAUCUUCGGCAAUGGACGAAAGUCUGACCGAGCAACGCCGCGUGAGUGAAGAAGGUUUUCGGAUCGUAAAGCUCUGUUGUAAGAGAAGAACGGGUGUGAGAGUGGAAAGUUCACACUGUGACGGUAUCUUAACAGAAAGAGACGGCUAACUACGUG